rnacentral:rRNA from 1 species
GAUGAACGCUAGCUACAGGCUUAACACAUGCAAGUCGAACGGACUUACAUUGAAGCCUAGCGAUAUGUAAGUUAGUGGCGGACGGGUGAGUAACGCGUGGGUAACCUGCCCUGUACUGGGGGACAACAGUUGGAAACGACUGCUAAUACCGCAUAAGCGCACGGGAUCGCAUGAUCUAGUGUGAAAAACUCCGGUGGUACAGGAUGGACCCGCGUCUGAUUAGCUGGUUGGUGAGGUAACGGCCCACCAAGGCAACGAUCAGUAGCCGGCCUGAGAGGGUGAACGGCCACAUUGGGACUGAGACACGGCCCAAACUCCUACGGGAGGCAGCAGUGGGGAAUAUUGCACAAUGGGGGAAACCCUGAUGCAGCGACGCCGCGUGAGUGAAGAAGUAUUCGGUAUGUAAAGCUCUAUCAGCAGGGAAGAAAAUGACGGUACCUGACUAAGAAGCCCCGGCUAACUACGUG